rnacentral:tRNA from 1 species
CGGAGCGUAGUGUAACGGUAGCACGAGACGUUUGGGACGUUUUAGUCCGGGUUCAAAUCCCGGCGCUCCGACCA